GUCUUUUAGAACAGGGUCUGCCUCCCUGAAAAUCACCUGGAGAAGGCAACUUCUAUAAUCUGAGAUGCUUUGAUGAGUCCUCCAGCACAGGCAGGAAAAAGGAAAAAAUACCCAGUGUGAUGACCUUCUACCAGGACUAUAGAUUUUUCACUCUAGAUUGAAAUCUUCAAAGCCUAUGGCUUCAUCAACUACCAAUUUAUUUGAGUAUCAAGCUGUGAAGACAUCGAAAUCAAUUAUGUUGGCUGCAGCGAUUAACGUGUGUCUAGCCAACGCUGGCAUAUAAUGACUGCUUGUAACGCUUGCUGUCACAACCUUUUUAUCAUAAACGAUAUCCUCAUUAAUAACCAAACUCAUCCCCAUGGCUGUCUAACGGCCAGGAGGUCGCCCAGUCAGCACCCACACCUCGAGCUAAUGCAUCUCUCCAACAGCUCUCUUUUAGUUUUUGUACAUUUUUCUUCCAAUUUUGACAAUUUUUCAUUUGUCACUGUGACUGAGAAAGGAAAUACAAUGCAUAAAAUAUAAACUUGGCAAAAAUGUCAGAAGAGCCAGUGCUCAAAAAAUGAAGCAUGAUGUUUUGGUGGCAAAUGUUAACACAGGCUCACAGACUUCAGACCAGAAGAGAUACAGAGAUGGUUGUAUGAUUGCAACAGGAUUUCAUCUCUAGAGGAUCAAGGAGGUCAACCUAGCUAGGAGACCUGUGGGAAAUCAGAUAUGCUAUCAAAGACACGAAAUUAAAAGACAUAUGUUCCUUGGCAGAAAAGCUAUGACAAACCCAGCCAGCAUAUUAAAAGGCAGAGACAUUACUUUGCCGACAAAGGUCCAUCUAGUUAAAGCUAUGGUCUUUCCAGCAGUCAUGUACGGAUGUGAGAGUUGAACCACAAAGAAGGCUAAAUGCCAAAGAAGUGAUGUUUUUGAGUUGUGGUGCUGGAGAAGACUCUUGAGAGUCCCUUGGACAGCAAGGAGAUUCAACCAGUCCAUCCUAAAGGAGAUCAGCCCUGAAUAUUCAUUGAAAAGACUGAUGCUGAAGUUGAAGCUCCAAUAUUUUGACCACCUGAUGCGAAAAGCCCACUCAUUGGAAAAGACCCUAAUGCUGGGAAAGACUGAGAACAGGAAGAGAAGAGGGUGACAGAGGAUAAGAUAGGCAGCAUCACAAACUCAACGGACACGAAUCUGAGCAAGCUCCAGGAGACAGCAGAGAACCGGGAGCCUGGCAUGCUGCAGUCCACGCGGUCACAGAGUCAGACACAACAUUGCAACUGAAUAACAUCAAUGACACAGGCACAACCUUCAAGAUCAACGCUGUGCCGCAGAAGGUGGAGAUGAUGGCUGGUGCCGGCGAGCAUACGGCACCACUACCCACACACGACUUCUGAGCACUUGAAAUGCAGCUAGUGCCGCGCAGCAGAUGAAUCCUCAACGUGAUUUUACAUCAGUUAGAUUUAAAUGGCCAGACCAGCUCUAGAUCAUUAGGUCCUCAUGGGGGAAAGGUGUGCACCUUUGGUCUGAGAGAAUGAGGGUCACGUGAGACCUUUUGGAAACCUAACCAUUUACAUAUGGCUAUGGCAGGGCGCAGGUAGCCUAACCUGGGUAUGUCUGGAGACUGGCUUCCCUGUGCCGGGGGCCCCGACCCACCUCAGAGUUACACAGGGUGCUGUAUGGCAUCCUCAGAUCCAGGUUAGCACAGCCUGGUCCAGGGAUGUUUCUGAACUUGGUGCUGAGGAAUGGAACAGGGUCAGGCCCAGAUAUCUCGAGGAGUCACCCUGGAGAGCAAGAGAGACUGUCCUCCACCCAGGACUGGCAGUGGUCACUGCUGUCGCCCCUCCCUUUAUUUACACAGAAACUUGUGUGCGGCUGCGGGGAGGGGAGGCUUCAGGAACAAUGCUGCACCUACCUGGCUCACACUUAGCCACUGUCCCCAGAGCCGAGGCGGAAGCGGCCGGCCUCGGGAGCGUCCACCUGUCAGCGGCAGCUCUUCAGCACCAGCCCGUCGGGGAACUCUCGGCGCCUUUCUCCUACCGGACCUCUCACGGAUGACCCCAAUCCUUUGCAAAGCUCCCGAGGGUGCUGUGCCUCCACGCAGCCCAGCCUGCUCUGUCCCCCAACACUGGCUCUGCAGACCAAGGGCAACCAUGGAGCAAUUUUGGCAGGGCACGAAGGAUCCUGUUAUAGUGAAUCUCCAGCCAACAGACACCAACUGGCCUUACCUUCGUGUGACCGAACAACCUUUCCCGUGAUAACAAAAUCUACCUCAAGGCUACCGGCUCCCCUUGUUUCCAGACACUGGUGAUCGUAGAAAUUUGGAGUUUGUUUUCAUGGUUUCCCUCUCCCAACACCUCUUUAUUGCAAUAUUAUUUUUGUUGUUGUUUUGCUGUUUAGUCGCUAAGUCGUGUAUGACUC
ensembl:lncRNA